UUAGAUCCUUAUUAACAUCUAUGUUGCAAUCCCAAGAGAAAUCAUUUAGUCAAGUACACAGGGAAUGGAACCAAUCAAAUACCUAUAGAAAAACAGAUUUACCAAGAGUUAGGUAGUAGAUAGAGAGAACCCUAAUUAGUUAGGAUUUCACAAAUAAUGAUCAUUACAGUAGUAUUUUGAUGAAUGACUUAGUAAAAAGUACUUUUGUUAAUUUGUAGGUUAGCUAAGCUAAUCCAAAGAGGUAAAAGGCACGUAAUCAGAAGUGUGUUUGUUCUGUUGGUCAAGUACUACGAUUUUGGUAGGAAUAUAGGGGUGUCAACCUCUAAGGAUAAAUAUUAUAAGGUGAGGGAUAGUCAAGAGAAACAUGAGCGAAUGGUUCAAAAGUAGGUAGUUAAUUGUUGAAAUAGAACCUAAAUUCGUAGUCUUCUAAGCAUUCAAAACUCUAUGGCCCUCAAAAAAAUGCGAGUGAUGAUGUACCUUUUGCAUAAUGGGUCACUUAGUAAUAGUCAAUAGCAAGGUUAAAUCCCUAGCGAAUGUGACAAUGGUUGAUAAGACCAAUUGGUUAAGUUAUUUAUUAUUGACCCAAAACCUAACGAUCUAGCCAUGAUCAGGCUAAGUUGAAAUGAACAGAAUGGAUGUCCUAAGUAAAGGGCUCUGAUGAAGUGUGGCUAGCAAGUGAAAGAUAAACCUAGUUAGGAGAUAGUUGAUCCUCUACGAAAUAUAUUAAAGUAAAGUGUGAUGAUGACAUCUUAUAUAGGUACAACUAUGAUUGUAAGGAUUCUUCUGGCGUGUUGGCUUUACCCAUGACAAAUAACCUAUAAAUGGCAUAGUAAUGAUCCAUAGCAUACAACUUAUUUAUGAUCAAGCGGGUAGGAAAGAAGGAAACAUCCCUCAAUGUUUGUUUAAGGUUCCUAAUUUCCCUUUAAGCGGUAGAAAGGAAGUGAAUUGCCCAAGAAAACCGGGAUAUGUGUUUGGUAGUUGCAAUUAAAUAAUGAGAGUGUAACAAAUCAAUAGUCUAAGUGGUCUUUUGAUCAUGGGGGAAUAAUGGGCACUUUCAAAACAUCUUUCUCCUCCCCACCAACCUUCAAUUACUUUCACUGGGUUGUGUUUUCUCGUGAAUCCUUGUAUGAACUCCUUGUCUAACAUAAUCUGAUGGGUCAAGAACUUGUAUAUAGUCUUCAAGGUGUUAGGAAUGUAAGAACCAAUCCUAGUCUUAUUGUUUGAAUAGAUGUUGUGUUCCUCACACGACUUCAAAGAGAUGAAACAUAGCAUCCAAGGAUGCCUACAGCCUGUACAAUCUCCAGCUCCUCCCAAAACCUGCAUAUGGCCUGACAAGGGUGAACUAGCCUACAUGCAACUUAUAGUUAACGAAAAAACAUAAUGUAUAGUCUCAUGAGGCUAGAUUUGAAACGUACAACUUCAAAAAAGUGUAAUAUUCAGUAUGCAAAUUGGUUUUUGGAUGUCGAUAAUCUUAGGAUUCAAGAAAUUUGAAAUACAAUUAAUUAUUUGUAAUAAUUAAUUAAUCACAAUCAUAGAUUUUAGUGAAUCAAAUGAUGGGUAAUAAAGAGUUAUCAAUGUUUUUAUUUUUUCAUUUUUCUUACACAUAGUUCAUUAUAGUACUCUUUUUUUUACACCAUUUAUCAAAUCACCUUCCAUGUAGCAUGCAUAUAUAGACUCACAUGUGUGAAAUCAAAAAUCAUGGCAUGGAAAUAACCCAAGAAUUCAUUGUGUCCAUCUGUCUAUCAAAGAAUAUUCUUCGAUAAGUCCCACCACGACUCCUUUGGGAUGCAGUCUCUAAAUAAUAACCUGCAACUCU
rfam:Picea glauca, whole genome shotgun sequence.